rnacentral:rRNA from 1 species
UACGUAGGGGGCGAGCGUUAUCCGGAUUCACUGGGUGUAAAGGGAGCGUAGACGGCCAUGCAAGCCAGGGGUGAAAGCCCGGGGCCCAACCCCGGGACUGCCCUUGGAACUGUGCGGCUAGAGUGCGGGAGGGGCAGGCGGAAUUCCUAGUGUAGCGGUGAAAUGCGUAGAUAUUAGGAGGAACACCAGUGGCGAAGGCGGCUUACUGGACUGUAACUGACGUUGAGGCUCGAAAGCGUGGGUAGCAAACAGG